rnacentral:rRNA from 1 species
UACAUGUGGGGCAAGCGUUGUUCGGAAUUACUGGGCAUAAAGGGUGCGUAGGCGGUUUGUUAAGUCACCGGUGAAAGUUUUCGGCCCAACCGGAAAAUUGCCUGUGAUAUUGGCGAACUUGAGUGCGUGAGGGGUGGGGGGAACGAGCAGUGUAGCGGUGAAAUGCGUAGAUAUCAGGAGGAACACCGGUGGCGAAGGCGGAUCUCUGGGCCAUUACUGACGCUGAGGAGCGAAAGCGUGGGGAGCGAACAGG